rnacentral:rRNA from 1 species
UGGGGAAUAUUGCGCAAUGGAGGAAACUCUGACGCAGCAACGCCGCGUGAAGGAUGAAGGCUUUCGGGUUGUAAACUUCUUUGAUCGGGGACGAAGAUGACGGUACCCGAGGAACAAGCCACGGCUAACUACGUGCCAGCAGCCGCGGUAAUACGUAGGUGGCGAGCGUUGUCCGGAAUUACUGGGUGUAAAGGGCGUGUAGGCGGGAAAGCAAGUCAGAUGUGAAAUACCGGGGCUUAACUCCGGGGCUGCAUCUGAAACUGUUUUUCUUGAGUGUCGGAGAGGAAAGCGGAAUUCCUAGUGUAGCGGUGAAAUGCGUAGAUAUUAGGAGGAACACCAGUGGCGAAGGCGGCUUUCUGGACGACAACUGACGCUGAGGCGCGAAAGCGUGGGUAGCGAACAGG